rnacentral:rRNA from 1 species
AAUAGAUACCCGGGUAGUCCAUGCCGUAAACGUUGGGCGCUAGAUGUGGGGACCAUUCCACGGUUUCCGUGUCGCAGCUAACGCAUUAAGCGCCCCGCCUGGGGAGUACGGCCACAAGGCUAAAACUCAAAGGAAUUGACGGGGGCCCGCACAAGCGGCGGAGCAUGCGGAUUAAUUCGAUGCAACGCGAAGAACCUUACCAAGGCUUGACAUAUACGAGAACGCUCUAGAAAUAGAGAACUCUUUGGACACUCGUAUACAGGUGGUGCAUGGUUGUCGUCAGCUCGUGUCGUGAGAUGUUGGGUUAAGUCCCGCAACGAGCGCAACCCUCGUUCUAUGUUGCCAGCGGUUCGGCCGGGAACUCAUAGGAGACUGCCGGGGUCAACUCGGAGGAAGGUGGGGAUGACGUCAAAUCAUCAUGCCCCUUAUGUCUUGGGCUUCACGCAUGCUACAAUGGCCGGUACAAAGGGCUGCAAUACCGUAAGGUGGAGCGAAUCCCAAAAAGCCGGUCUCAGUUCGGAUUGAGGU